GGUUCGUAGGUGACCUGCGGAGGAUCAUUAUUGAAUGUUUGAAGUUUGCUGAGCUGGUCUUUAACCAGACAUGUGCUCGCUGCUUCUAUUCAUCUCUAUCCACCUGUGCACUUAUUGUAGAGCUUUGAAGAGGGCCUUAGUUCAUUCUAAGGCUAGUAUUCGAGUUCUAUGUUUUCUACAAACUCUAUGAAUGUCUUGAAUGUCUUUUUACUGGGACUUGACUGGCCCUUUAAAACUUUUAAUACAACUUUCAGCAACGGAUCUCUUGGCUCUCGCAUCGAUGAAGAACGCAGCGAAAUGCGAUAAGUAAUGUGAAUUGCAGAAUUCAGUGAAUCAUCGAAUCUUUGAACGCACCUUGCGCCCUUUGGUAUUCCGAGGGGCAUGCCUGUUUGAGUGUCAUUAAAUUCUCAACUUCAAAAGCUUUUGUCUUUCUGAAGCUUGGACGUGAAGGCUUGCUGGCGUUUCAAAUGCUCAGCUCCUUUAAAAUGCAUUAGUGGACUCCACUUGUGUUCAGCCUUAGUGUGAUAGUUAUCUACGCUAUGGUUUUGGAUGCUCGCUCAUUAGAACUUCGGGGUGUACUUGUUACAUUCUCGGUUUGGAGAGCUGCAUGGCUAUGUACAUGCUCUUUCUGUCUAAUCGAGUUAGGAUUGUCUGCUUCUAACUGUCUGCCUAUGUAGACAAUUUUGAACCAUUUGACCUCAAAUCAGGUAGGACUACCCGCUGAACUUAAGCAUAUCAA
rnacentral:rRNA from 1 species